GAUGAACGCUGGCGGCGUGCCUAAUACAUGCAAGUCGAGCGAACAGACGAGGAGCUUGCUCCUCUGACGUUAGCGGCGGACGGGUGAGUAACACGUGGAUAACCUACCUAUAAGACUGGGAUAACUUCGGGAAACCGGAGCUAAUACCGGAUAAUAUAUUGAACCGCAUGGUUCAAUAGUGAAAGACGGUUUUGCUGUCACUUAUAGAUGGAUCCGCGCCGCAUUAGCUAGUUGGUAAGGUAACGGCUUACCAAGGCGACGAUGCGUAGCCGACCUGAGAGGGUGAUAGGCCACACUGGAGCUGAGACACGGUCCAGACGCCUACGGGAGGCAGCAGUAGGGAAUCUUCCGCAAUGGGCGAAAGCCUGACGGAGCAACGCCGCGUGAGUGAUGAAGGUCUUCGGAUCGUAAAACUCUGUUAUUAGGGAAGAACAAAUGUGGAAGUAACUAUGCACGUCUUGACGGUACCUAAUCAGAAAGCCACGGCUAACUACGUG
rnacentral:rRNA from 1 species